GAGAAAAUAGGUUGCUUUAUGGCUUCUAACUUUUAAAGUAAGCAGUUCGAUUCUGUUUGUUCUCU
rnacentral:tRNA from 1 species